GAUUGCUGCUGAGAAUUUGAUCAGAAAGCCUUGCAUUAAUUGGGUUGUUAAGUGUGUUUCUCGUUCUUUCCAAGUCUCGUGGCCUUGGUCUAGGACAAAUGUUUUUGGUUCAAAUGCGAAUGGUUUGUCCCUUCCAUCAAGUGACAUGGACCUUGUGGUUUGUCUUCCUCCCAUGAGAAAUUUGGUAAGAAUAAGUUGAUUUGGAUUAUUUGUUUUUUGACAAUUUUAGGAAGAAAUAUUAAAGAUAGAUAUUUCAUUCAUAUUCAAUUUUCAGGACCCUAUUAAAGAAGCAGGAAUCUUGGAGGGACGUAAUGGCAUCAAAGAAACUUGCUUUCAGGUACGCAGUAUUACAUAAAAGUG
rnacentral:lncRNA from 1 species